rnacentral:lncRNA from 1 species
AUGGCAGAAGCUGAGUUCUCCUGCGAGGUAAGCAUUCAGCCAUCUCGAGAUGUUGGCAGCCACCCAGCGUGGCGGAGGGAAGGAGCAGUGAAUAGAGGGUCCCAGGAGAGCCCAAGUCUUCAGUUCACUCCCUGGGUGACUGUGGACAGAGCGUGCUCUCGGUUCCGGUCCUGUUUCCUCAUGUGUAAAAUGCAGAAGAGAGAGCAGACAGGCUGUUGUCUGCUGGAGAAGCAGCAGAGUGGAGUGGUCAAGAGCAUGGAUCCAACACUCACUGGCUGUGUGAACUUGGGUAAGUGAGUGCAAUGAACACACUGUCCGUGUCCUGAGUACCUGCUGAAUAUUAACUCUGUUACUACCCCUCCCAGGCCUGCCAUUUAGCACCCCCGCCCCCAUCACUAAGGGUUAAUGCCGCCGUAGCCUGAGGAUGUGACCGUCAUGUUCCUUUUCCCUCCCCAAACCGCCUCUUGCUCAGUUGGCUCAUGUUGAACUUGAAACCGACUAAAACCUCCUGAUCUUUUUUUAUGUGAAUUGCAGUCAAGCCAGGUCUCCCUCAUCCCCUUCUUGUGCAAUUGAUUUUUGGAACCUGCAUUCAAGACAUUAGAUUUAUUGAUGCUAACUUUCAUCUGGUUGCUUUUGACCUAGCAUUCUUAACUGUGGAGAUCAUCUUGAACCUUAAUUCUCUCAUCCCCUCCAGCUUUGAGUCAUCUGCAAAUUUGGUGCACAUGCUUUCCAUGUCUUCAUCCAAAUUGCUGGCUUAGAAAAGCUAUUUAUAUGGAUAAAAAUAGAGAUAGAGAUAUAGGCCGCUUUACAAGAGGGGACCGUGUGCGUAAGGCUGAGCACUGGGGUUUAUCACGCGGGCAGCAGGGGGCUCACAGCCCUGAAUCGACAUUUAAACCUUUUCUGUACGCACCCCCUCGUACGCACUUGUAUUUGCCCCUGGCUCCCGAAUGUUCUCAGUGAUGACAAGGGGAGUUCACUGCUCAGCCACCCUGACUGUGGUGUCCUCUAAACUAGCAAAUCCCCUGGGCAGAUCUGAAUCCUUUCCCGUCUGCACCAGGUGAAGCUCCAGGGCCAAGUCUUGUCCUUCCCCCUUCUCACUGUUUCUUAAACUGAGACCACCCCCACCUUGGGGCCUCGCCAAAUACCUGCUGUUAAUCCAAGAAAUCAAUUCUUGCUCGCUCAGAGGAAGAGGUCAUGGACCACAACGUCUUAAUGUGCUUCCCGCUCAGAUGUUUCCAUUGUAACAGGGGCCUUCUGUGUCUGAACCGCAAGGCCGGAGCCGGGGUGGGUGUGCAAUUAGCCACCUGUGGCCACGUGGGGCUCUGGCCUCAGUCCCAGGCCCCAAGGGCAUCCCAUGUCACAGCAGACAGCGGCCGGCACUGCUCAUAAGCAUGACUGCAAGUCACCAGGGAAAGACUUGGGGCGCUCUGUUCAAGACAGAGAAAGGAGAAAAAAAAUUCUAGGAGUAAUUUACAUCUAAAGUGGCUUAAAUUACCGAGAAAAAGAAAAAAAAAAGCCACUGAUUAUUUUUUUCCUCCAGACAAGACUCUCUGAUGUUGUGUGAGCUAGGUGGUGGCUGGUGGCAGAACUUUCUAAAGCCCCAAGCUCCCUGCAUGUCCAGACACAUCUGCAGGCACCUGGCUGAGGACCCCUAGCCCCAAGAGAGUUAGCUGGCUCAGUGCACUCAAUCCCUCUUUGAUGUCCUCAGUACCAGAGCCUUCCCAUUUUACCCGCAAUAUUCCUUUAUAGGAAAAGUUUGAUGAAGACCAUAAAGAGCAGUUGCUCUUUCCUGAGUGCCUGCCAUGUGCCAGGCAUUGUGCUAGACCUUGAAACCUCCCACCUUUAAUCUCUUCAACCUUAGGAAGCAGAUUGUUACUAUUCCCAUCUUAUGGAAGAGUAAACUGAGGCCCACAGAGAUAAACUGCCUAUGGUCACAAUAAAUAGCAAGACUGGAAUUUGAACCCUGUUCUC